rnacentral:lncRNA from 1 species
UAUUUUGUAACAGCAUUAAGUAACUCAAUCUAGCUUAGAUCAUUAUAGAUUAGAUAGAAUCCAGAUUAGGUUGGUAUGACUAGAUUAAACUAAUUAAGAUUAGAUAGAUCUACCAGGGUGGGAUAAAUAUUAUUAGGAUAUGCUAGAAUCUUUUAAGAAGGAUGGACAUUGUUUAGGCUAGAUAUUUUAAUGAGUGAUAAUCUAAGUUGAUUAGUUAUCUUAUGAAUUUUUUUAUUUAUAUUUAUGCCUAUAUGUAUAUGCAGAUGUAAUUGUGGACAUUACUCCACAACUCAUCACACUCAAUCAAAGAUCCAAAUCAGACAAGUAUCAUAAGAACAAACAUUCAAGUGCAUAGAUACACACAUAAAAAUAAUAUUUUUGUUUUUGUUCCUAAGAGUAGGUCUCCUAUUCCUAAAGGUCACUUUAGGUACAGGAUUUCAAAGUGUGAAAUCCACAGUUGUCUUUAGAAGGAAAAGGUAAGAAUAAUCAGAGUAAAGCGGAAAUAGAUGAGAAAAGAUUAAGAUAAGUUUAGAAAAGGAUCAGAGUAGCAAAGGUAAGUAGAUAAUGAUUGUCCAGUUCUAUCUAGGUUUUGUCCUACAGUCAACAUUCCUCUGAUACCACUUCUGUCACACCCGGAUUUUAGGGGUCCAAAGCCCGGGCGUAAACAUAAUCACCAGGUGUGCUGGGACCAAGUCUCACACAUAUGAUGAAUCAUGGCACAGGAUCGAAUGUCACAUCUUUACUACAUAACAGGAGUUCUAUACAAAAUAAUUAAGUAUUUACAUUAUAAGGAGACAACGGUCCAGCAACCCAAAGUUGGCUGGGAGACGACGACCUAGACCUCUCACGAACUCGCACAGCAUCCUUCAAGCGCCUCGUCCUGUGGUACCUGUUCUUGACCUGUGGGGGGGUGUGAGACAGCAAGAGUGAGCUCACAUACGUUCAUCGCUCAACAAGUUGUGGGGAAUAAUGUGCAUGAACUCGCCAAAGGUGGGAGCUCACGUGAAGUGUAAGGCUUACCAACGGAGAUGGUUGAAGCUGAGCAUUGCUUUUAAAGUUGGUCAAAAUUUUAUUAGCAAUUACUAAGUAUAAGUAAAUACCAACCCAAUUAAGUAGUAGAACAGAAGUAACAACAUCACCUGUGAUGCAAUGCAUAUGACAAAUUGAAUUUAAGUUCCAUAGAUUAAUCAUGUGAGGGUCCGAGCCGCUCAUGACCGUGAGCACGGCUAGUAUACCAGUUUUACACUCUGCAGAGGUUGCGCAUCUUUACCCACAAGUCAUGUUACCCAUCUGCCAAGGGAUCGCGACUUCCCAUACACCUCUACCAAGGAGGCGAGGCAGGGUAACACUACGAGGCCUUUACAAAGUUCCACUAGCUUCAGAAAACCCGCUACAGUUUAUAGGAAGCUCCAAUGCAGGAAUCCCUUGCAGGACCGCCAUCGCAGCAAAAUCCUCCCGAGGGCCUCCCUACACUGACCACUCCCCUACUGCCCUUGCCCCUUUCGGGUAAGGUAGUCCUCCACUAGCUUUCCUAAUUAAUCAGCCAAGGGCGUCCCAUUAAACCCUUGUGGUAGCACUGUUUUCCCGGGUGGUCGCUCCAUGUUCCAAUUAACAUAAUGAUCUUAUCAUGAACGAUAAAUAACAACGGAUAACAAAAGUAUAAUCAUGAGUAAUGUAUCUUCAUACCCAAAACCACAUAAAGCACUAGCAAGUACUACCCAAAAAGUUCAGUGGUAACAAGGUAUAAAGAUAAUCAAACUAGGGUAACCUAUUGGGUCCCAUCAAAAUUAACCUAUGCAGAUCAUUAUGAUUAAUCAGAACAUGGCUGGGUAAAAAGAAGUGAUCAAGGGCACAACUUGCCUGGGACUUGAGAUUCCAGGUACCAACUUGCUUUUCAGAUGACACGUGUCCUCGCGCUAGUCGUAGCAAUACAAGCAAACAUGGUAUAGAUAAAAUUAACAUCACACCAAACAUAAGAACAAACUGAGUAAUAAUGAUCUACGCGCUGCUACGAGACUAACGUAACUUGAACGGAUCAAAUCAGAGUUAAAACGGAGGAGUUAUGAUUUUCUGAAGAUUAUAUGUGUUUUGUACAAGAUUAAAUAGGAUAUAAAUUUUAAUGUGACAUUCAUGUCAAAACAGUGGUACUAAUUGAUAAACAAUAUUAUUAUAAAAUUAUAGAAACUAGAAUGGAUCAAUUUGGAGUUCAUAUGAAGUUUCUGUGAUUUAUACAACUUCUAGCAAUUAUUUUUGUAUUAAAAUCAAUUUCUAAAAUUAAAUAACUGAAUUCUCAGAGCUGUGGACUGGGCGCACAAAAUCUAGACAACCCGGGGGCCGCUACAUGAAUUUUCCUAAGACUCAGAGGUAUUCCGCGAGGACGGCGGGUUGUUUUUAGGAAAAUCUGGGGGCUCUUAUGCAUAAUAGGCACGGCGAAGGGGUAUCCUUUCAUCUAGGCCGCGCGAUCUGAUUUCAACGAUCCAGAUUAUAAUCCGAGCCCCGCGAACCGGUACAGGCUCACAACCGUUGGAUCCGAGAUCCACGGCACAGAUCACUUCCAUCCGAACGCUGCUGAACUUCUAAUCGUGGCCGCCCGAUCUUCAUCUAAUGGACCGGAUCAACUCACGCGAAGGGAUACAUGAAUUCUAUUCACAGCCGCAUGAUACCGGAUCAACGACCCAGCACCAUCUCCUUCCUCUCGUCGCUCAGACCGACGGCCAAGCGCGGCGGCAGUACACACCGGUGAGUCCCAGCCCGGUGCACCGGUGAACUACCCAUGUGCCUACUAGCAAAACACGACACAGAGAACAGAGGGAAUCACCCAGCUGGGAGUUCUUACCUGGACUCGGCAGGUGGCAGGACUGCCCACGCGCUACGGUGCUGGCUCACUACAACAGGUUCGACCGGGGCCCAGGACCUUCUCCGC